UCUUAUUUCCUACAAGCAAACACUGUCACUGAGGCUACCAAAACAGCCUCACUCUUUCCUGCAGCAGCCGCUCAGCAACACAACUGUGAGCAGAUGAUUUCUUCAUGACAUUUAAAAUCAUGCUCUUCGCCUGACUGACAAGUUCCCAUCACAUCUAUAACAGCUCUAAGUGGCAUCCAAACCUGGACAGCUGAGCCCCUGCUAGAGGAAGAAGUGCUGUGCGCUCGAUUAGACAUCUGAUCAUGGGUUUUCCUAUGCAGAAGAUGGCUCCAAGGUCAACCAACAGAUCGUCAAGCUAUUGGACAUCAGUGGCUUUGCAGCAACUCUCUCUGGAACUGUUUGCUUGUUUCAAAUGAAUAGGGAAUUGCCUUUCUAUUUAUAAAAGGACUGAUUCCUGGAACAAAUGCUGUUGAUUUGAUUCAGAACAUCAAGCAGAUCUUCGGUGAGCAAUGUCAGUGCAAGAGGAAUGAUAAAUCUUCACGUUUUAAAUAAGAAAAUAUUUCCCUUUGGACAAGAAGAGAUGAGAUAAUGCAGCAACUGUUGUGUUCUUCUUAUAGAACCAUGUCUUAGACACACUGGUUAAAGAUAUCUUCCUUUUUGAUCUGGAUCCAAAGAAUGAAGUGGUUUAAAUGCACAUAGCACGUGGUUGUUGUGCCCCUUCCAAAACAGAAAAGUGAGAUGUUUACUAAGUCCUUAGUUGUGGAUCUGCACCUUUGUUCUAGACAGAAUUCUAUUGGAAAAUCUGCUACUUCACACUGUUACUUUGUUGAACAAUGAUUUGAUCUGACAAAGAGCUUCAAGCCAAAUAUUCUGUUAAUGAAAUAAGAUCUCCUGUGCUCCGCCCUUUUAGAGCAAAUGUAGACAAAACUCCAGCAACAGUUAGGGGCAUGAAUAAAUGAAGCUGAGGAAUAUAAAAGCCUUGGCCAUGGUACUGCUUAUUGCCCUUCCAAGAAAUUCUCCUAUAAAGCAUAUUUGAGUAAUGAAAAUAAAUUUUGACUGUUGAGUAACUCCAUCCCUUCUUAACUUGCUCAUAUCCCUUACAGUGAGCUUGUCUCAAAGACAGUGUGAAUCAGACAUGUCAAUACUGUUCCAGAGUUCUAUACACAUAUAUUUUUUAACAUGAAAAAGAUAUAUAAACAGGAGUAAGAAGAUAAACUGAAGUCA